UACGAAGGGGGCUAGCGUUGUUCGGAAUUACUGGGCGUAAAGCGCGCGCAGGCGGUCUUCCAAGUCAGUGGUGAAAGCCCGGAGCUCAACUCCGGAACUGCCAUUGAAACUGUAAGACUUGAGGAUGAGAGAGGUGAGUGGAAUUCCCAGUGUAGCGGUGAAAUGCGUAGAUAUCGGGAGGAACACCUGUGGCGAAAGCGGCUCACUGGACCGCAACUGACGCUGAGGCGCGAAAGCUAGGGGAGCAAACAGG
rnacentral:rRNA from 1 species